GAUGAAGAACGUAGCGAAAUGCGAUAACUAAUGUGAAUUGCAGAAUUCAGUGAAUCAUCGAGUCUUUGAACGCACAUUGCGCCCCCUGGUAUUCCGAGGGCAUGCCUGUCCGAGCGUCAUUGCUGCCCUCAAGCACGGCUUGUGUGUUGGGCUCCGUCCCCCCGGGGACGGGCCCGAAAGGCAGCGGCGGCACCGAGUCCGGUCCUCGAGCGUAUGGGGCUUUGUCACCCGCUCUGUAGGCCCGGCCGGCGCCAGCCGACAACCCAUCAUCCUUUUCAGGUUGACCUCGGAUCAGGUAGGGAUACCCGCUGAACUUAAGCAUAUCAAUAAGCGGAGGA
rnacentral:misc_RNA from 1 species